rnacentral:rRNA from 1 species
GAAUCAUCUGGAAAGAUGAAUCAAAGAAGGUAAUAAUCCUGUAGUCGAAAAUGUUGUCUCUCUUGAGUGGAUCCUGAGUACGACGGAGCACGUGAAAUUCCGUCGGAAUCUGGGAGGACCAUCUCCUAAGGCUAAAUACUCUCUAGUGACCGAUAGUGAACCAGUACCGUGAGGGAAAGGUGAAAAGCACCCCGGAAGGGGAGUGAAAUAGAACCUGAAACCGUGUGCUUACAAGUAGUCAGAGCCCGUUAAUGGGUGAUGGCGUGCCUUUUGUAGAAUGAACCGGCGAGUUACGAUUUGAUGCAAGGUUAAGCAGUAAAUGUGGAGCCGUAGCGAAAGCGAGUCUGAAUAGGGCGUUUAGUAUUUGGUCGUAGACCCGAAACCAGGUGAUCUACCCUUGGUCAGGUUGAAGUUCAGGUAACACUGAAUGGAGGACCGAACCGACUUACGUUGAAAAGUGAGCGGAUGAACUGAGGGUAGCGGAGAAAUUCCAAUCGAACCUGGAGAUAGCUGGUUCUCUCCGAAAUAGCUUUAGGGCUAGCCUCAAGUGAUGAUUAUUGGAGGUAGAGCACUGUUUGGACGAGGGGCCCCUCUCGGGUUACCGAAUUCAGACAAACUCCGAAUGCCAAUUAAUUUAACUUGGGAGUCAGAACAUGGGUGAUAAGGUCCGUGUUCGAAAGGGAAACAGCCCAGACCACCAGCUAAGGUCCCAAAAUAUAUGUUAAGUGGAAAAGGAUGUGGCGUUGCCCAGACAACUAGGAUGUUGGCUUAGAAGCAGCCAUCAUUUAAAGAGUGCGUAAUAGCUCACUAGUCGAGUGACACUGCGCCGAAAAUGUACCGGGGCUAAACAUAUUACCGAAGCUGUGGAUUGUCCUUUGGACAAUGGUAGGAGAGCGUUCUAAGGGCGUUGAAGCAUGAUCGUAAGGACAUGUGGAGCGCUUAGAAGUGAGAAUGCCGGUGUGAGUAGCGAAAGACGGGUGAGAAUCCCGUCCACCGAUUGACUAAGGUUUCCAGAGGAAGGCUCGUCCGCUCUGGGUUAGUCGGGUCCUAAGCUGAGGCCGACAGGCGUAGGCGAUGGAUAACAGGUUGAUAUUCCUGUACCACCUAUAAUCGUUUUAAUCGAUGGGGGGACGCAGUAGGAUAGGCGAAGCGUGCGAUUGGAUUGCACGUCUAAGCAGUAAGGCUGAGUAUUAGGCAAAUCCGGUACUCGUUAAGGCUGAGCUGUGAUGGGGAGAAGACAUUGUGUCUUCGAGUCGUUGAUUUCACACUGCCGAGAAAAGCCUCUAGAUAGAAAAUAGGUGCCCGUACCGCAAACCGACACAGGUAGUCAAGAUGAGAAUUCUAAGGUGAGCGAGCGAACUCUCGUUAAGGAACUCGGCAAAAUGACCCCGUAACUUCGGGAGAAGGGGUGCUCUUUAGGGUUAACGCCCAGAAGAGCCGCAGUGAAUAGGCCCAAGCGACUGUUUAUCAAAAACACAGGUCUCUGCUAAACCGUAAGGUGAUGUAUAGGGGCUGACGCCUGCCCGGUGCUGGAAGGUUAAGAGGAGUGGUUAGCUUCUGCGAAGCUACGAAUCGAAGCCCCAGUAAACGGCGGCCGUAACUAUAACGGUCCUAAGGUAGCGAAAUUCCUUGUCGGGUAAGUUCCGACCCGCACGAAAGGCGUAACGAUUUGGGCACUGUCUCAACGAGAGACUCGGUGAAAUCAUAGUACCUGUGAAGAUGCAGGUUACCCGCGACAGGACGGAAAGACCCCGUGGAGCUUUACUGUAGCCUGAUAUUGAAAUUCGGCACAGCUUGUACAGGAUAGGUAGGAGCCUUUGAAACGUGAGCGCUAGCUUACGUGGAGGCGCUGGUGGGAUACUACCCUAGCUGUGUUGGCUUUCUAACCCGCACCACUUAUCGUGGUGGGAGACAGUGUCAGGCGGGCAGUUUGACUGGGGCGGUCGCCUCCUAAAAGGUAACGGAGGCGCUCAAAGGUUCCCUCAGAAUGGUUGGAAAUCAUUCAUAGAGUGUAAAGGCAUAAGGGAGCUUGACUGCGAGACCUACAAGUCGAGCAGGGUCGAAAGACGGACUUAGUGAUCCGGUGGUUCCGCAUGGAAGGGCCAUCGCUCAACGGAUAAAAGCUACCCCGGGGAUAACAGGCUUAUCUCCCCCAAGAGUUCACAUCGACGGGGAGGUUUGGCACCUCGAUGUCGGCUCAUCGCAUCCUGGGGCUGUAGUCGGUCCCAAGGGUUGGGCUGUUCGCCCAUUAAAGCGGUACGCGAGCUGGGUUCAGAACGUCGUGAGACAGUUCGGUCCCUAUCCGUCGUGGGCGUAGGAAAUUUGAGAGGAGCUGUCCUUAGUACGAGAGGACCGGGAUGGACAUACCUCUGGUGUACCAGUUGUCGUGCCAACGGCAUAGCUGGGUAGCUAUGUGUGGACGGGAUAAGUGCUGAAAGCAUCUAAGCAUGAAGCCCCCCUCAAGAUGAGAUUUCCCAACUUCGGUUAUAAGAUCCCUCAAAGAUGAUGAGGUUAAUAGGUUCGAGGUGGAAGCAUGGUGACAUGUGGAGCUGACGAAUACUAAUCGAUCGAAGACUUAAUCAA